UACGUAGGGGGCGAGCGUUUAUCCGGAAUUACUGGGCGUAAAGCGCACGCAGGCGGUUCGCCAAGUUUGGAGUGACAGUUGUCGGCUCAACCGACAAAGGACUUCAAAAACUGGUGAACUUGAGGACGAGAGAGGAACAUGGAACUCCAGGUGUAGUAGUGAAAUGCGUAGAUAUCUGGAAGAACACCAAUGGCGAAGGCAGCUCGCUGGGACGUUACUGACGCUGAGACGCGAAAGCGUGGGGAGCAAACAGG
rnacentral:rRNA from 1 species